CUUGAGGGGAAUGUUGGCUGGCUCGAGGCUUUUCUUUUCACCCACUUACACCUUCCCUCGUUCUAUAAAUUAAAGCUUCGGACCAGGCUUCAUUCCCCUCAAA
rnacentral:pre_miRNA from 1 species